rnacentral:rRNA from 1 species
UAGUCCACGCCGUAAACGAUGGACACUAGUUGUUGGGGAGCAAUUCUCAGUGACCAAGCUAACGUGAUAAGUGUCCCACCUGGGGAGUACGAUCGCAAGGUUGAAACUCAAAGGAAUUGACGGGGGUCCGCGCAAGCGGUGGAGCAUGUGGUUUAAUUCGAUGAUACGCGAGGAACCUUACCAGGGCUUAAAUGUAGGUUGCAUGAGUUGGAAACAUCUCUUUCUUCGGACUACUUACAAGGUGCUGCAUGGUUGUCGUCAGCUCGUGCCGUGAGGUGUCAGGUUAAGUCCUAUAACGAGCGCAACCCUUAUCGUUAGUUGCUAGCAGGUAAAGCUGAGGACUCUAGCGAGACUGCCGGUGUAAACCGUGAGGAAGGUGAGGACGACGUCAAAUCAUCACGGCCCUUAUGUCCUGGGCUACACACGUGCUACAAUGGUAUGGACAGCGAGCAGCCACUACGCGAGUAGGCGCUAAUCUUGAAACCAUAUUUCAGUUCGGAUCGG